GCCUAGCCACGCCAAAGAAUUUGUGUGGCAGCUGACCGUGGUGAGGGAUAGAGACACAGACCGAGAGAGAAAAAGGCUGUAGGCUUUAUUGAGCAGAUUGAAAGGACAAAGCUUCCACAGUGUGGAAGGGGUCCCGAGCGGGUAGCCAGAGUUAGAUUAUGUGACUGCCUUUUAAACUCUUUAAGGCCGGAAAUACGUGUGGCGAGAUGUUACCAGAGCGAGAAACAAAGGCAAUUAACCGUUUGUAACAUGUCUUAGAUCUUGAGGAAAACUGGAAUUGCAACUUAGGUUUUAUCUACUUUAUGAACUUGCAGCAGCAUGGCAAAGGAGACGGGAUCUUACAGGACUUUGUUACAAAGACCGAAGUAAGUCCUGAUGCAGGAAAUGAGUGACUUUCACAGCUUUCUGAGCCCCUACUCAACCCAGGAAGUCCAGCUGGCACCUCCUCUGGAUCACAAGGUACUCACCGCUACCCUGCGUUCCUGCAUAGACUUCCAUCAGAGAGAACAUGUUAGGAAAGUUAAAUUGCAGUAAGCACAUCACAGCAAUGACGAGGACAGGUACUUUUCUGGGAAACACUGGAAGACAGCUGGAGAGGAUUCUGCUGCUGUGAAAGCACCUAAAGCCUCCUUGACUCAGCCUCACAUCCUAUCUUCAAGAAAACAUCAUAUGGUUAUUAUAUAAACCUCUUACGGGAUUUCUAAGGUUAAUUUCAAUAUAUAAAUGGCUACUCAACAGAAUCAAGGUAAUUAGAGUUUGCUUAUAUUCAAAAAGAGUUGCAAAAUGUCUCCUAGAAAACAGAAUUAACUAUAAGAACCUGAAAUUUGCAUUUCAUAACUUUAAGGAGUUUAAAUUAUCAAGAUUAAUAUUGCACUAAAAAGUUUGUGCAUUCAUGCGUGAUCGAAUAUGAAAACACAUGACCUGUGAACUGAGCAAAAGGUAUGCUUUCUGAAGCAUAUACUCUGUGUGAUUAGGUCACUGAUGCCAUUGAAAUAUGUAGAUUUAAUGUUAAAGCUACUGGUUCUCUGAGUGUUUUCAUGAUCUCACCAGAUUUUUUUUUUUGUACCAUUCACUCUUUUCUAUUUAAAAGACUUUCAGUCGUAGUCUAAAAAAAAUUCCAAACACUUUAGUUCUGGAAUUUCACUUAUUCUCUACAAGUUAUUAUUACUACAAUUUAGUACAAACUCUCAUUUUCAUAGCUUACUAUUCCAACUUCUCCUAGUAUGUAACCCUUAUGCUCUAUAACUGAAAACAUUCUGGUAAAAGGAAUCAGCAUGCUAAUACUAUUUUAAACACACAUCCUCAUUCUCUUUCCUAUUAUUCAUAAAACUAGAAAAAUAAAAAAACACUUUUCUUCCAGCAGUGGAUAGAAGAAAAAGAAAUUCAAAUUUACAAUUUAAUUGUCAUGGGUCACUCACUUGCAGUGACUUGCUCUAGUUGCUUCUGUUGUUUUAAUGCUAAGGUAAGAUGAUGAAGAUCUGUUUUGAGUAAAGUAAGCUCCAAAUAUGAGCUUUGCACUACUACCAUUCUUAAUUUGUGGAUCAUAUCAAUGUUAGGAGUUGAAGGUUUAAUUUGCAUUUAUUUAAAUAAAUUAUCCCUAGACUAUAACUUAUUUUCCAAAUGUCUCAUUCUUUCUCUCAUGUUUAUCUUUUUUCUUGACAUUCAUUUCUUAUACAUGCAUUCAUCAAUAUUAGCCAUUCUAUGUGGAUAUACUAAUUCAUAUUUACUUCAAUCCAUUAAUAUUUGCAUUCUAAUAAAAUUCAUUGCUUCUCUACAAUAGAUAGUUCAAGCAGAACUUAUAGUUUUGGUCAUUAAUUUCUAGCUACAGAUUGCAGAAGAGAAGCAGCACAUAAUAAAGUAUAUCCUAGUCAUGUUUGCAUAUAAAUACAUACUACAUUGCACAGAAUAAUUGUUACCCUCCUACAAAAGCCCAAAAUAAAUUAAAGAUAUAAAAUCACUGAUAUAAUUCAGUUUUGUAUCUCAAUCACAAUCCAGUUUCUUUCUUUUUCUGAUCUUAUAGCCUGGGGGUUCUCAAAAGAAAACGUUUUAGAAUAAAAUUUUAUUUUCUAUAAACCUAAGGAUAUAGUGCACAUUCAUUGAUAGAACAGGCAUCAACUUCUGUUUCUCUGAUCUCAUUUCACUAGGGCUUACAUUUUCAGCCAUAUCACUAGGCAGAACUGUGAAAGCAAUUCUGUAUUAAUGUUCAAAGAUGCAUUUUUUUUAUUAGAAAAGAAACACAUGUUUUAUACUUAGCCCUAUAUCCUGUAUCUUCCCCUCCCUUCCUCUUUUGGUUUUUCUUGUCCUACAAUAAAAAGCACUAGAAUAUCCACUGGAUGUAUUGUUUAUAAAUUAAGUAACAUAUUGUUCAUAUAAUAAAACGAUUCUCUUCCCCACAUGAUUUCAUCACCACUGUCUCUUCCUAAGUGUGACAAUGUCUUCUGCUUACUUCAACAUUAAAUAUUUUAUAUUUACUUCUAGAUUAAUAAACUGUAGACCCUACCAAUUGUCUCUAUAGAAGAUUACUAGUUUGCUCAUUUAUGUAAUACUCAUAUUCCCCUUUCAUGUACCUUCCUUAAAUUUUAAUAGUUGCAUUUAUCCUUCCAAGUAGCAUUCAAACUUUAAAUAUAAAUACAUCUUCAUCACUUGUUCCCUCAUUUACACAAUACUUCCUAAUUAUUUACUACAUAAGAGAGUGGUCUUAUAACUAUAUUUUUCUCUAUAUCUCUUGUAUCAACUUUCAAACUGGAAUUUUUGACAGAUACCACUUCUAUAUAUAG
rnacentral:lncRNA from 10 species